UCGGGAUCAUGCUCGACCUCU
rnacentral:piRNA from 1 species